GGUGCCCUACGCUGAGUGUGGGCGGGUGUUGUUUCGAUCCAACACAGUUUCGAAGGGAGCCUUGCUCCAAUGCAGGAUAUGCGGCGGGCCGCAGAUGCCUGCGGGCGGGCACCCACCUGCUUUCUGGCAGGUUCGAAACGAUCCCGUCUGCGCCUGCCGUAGGGCUUUU
rnacentral:other from 1 species